CCAUUAGGUAGUUGGUGAGGUAACGGCCCACCAAGCCGAUGAUGGGUAGCUGGUCUGAGAGGAUGGUCAGCCACACUGGGACUGAGACACUGCCCAGACUCCUACGGGAGGCUGCAGUCGAGAAUCUUGGGCAAUGCGCGAAAGCGUGACCCAGCAAUGCCGCGUGUGUGAUGAAGGUCUUCGGAUUGUAAAACACUGUCUCCCGUGACGAUAAUGACGGUAGCGGGGAAGGAAGCCACGGCUAACUACGUGCCAGCAGCCGCGGUAAUACGUAGGUGGCGAGCGUUGUCCGGAAUUAUUGGGCGUAAAGAGCUUGUAGGCGGUUUGAGUCGUGGGAG
rnacentral:rRNA from 1 species